GAGGGUAUAGCUUAAUGGUAGUGCGUGUGCUUAGCAUGUACAAGAUCCUGGAUCGAUCCCUAGUACUUCCA
rnacentral:tRNA from 1 species